AAAAAGCGCCCAAACAUAUAGUUCUACUUGUGAUUUGGAUGCGUGUAAAAUUAUUCUUAUAGACUUAUUGGUAGCUGUUCUCAGGAUUUUCACUAGAAUCAGCCCAAAGUACUGUCGAGAGUGUCAGUGUUUUUGUAUAUAAGAUCAACCAAAGAGACUACAGAAUGCACUGGUUGACCUUAUGCAUACUUCAGGCGAUCUUUCUUGUUUAUUUAUUGAUUGGAGGGGCGAUCUUUAUGGCCCUCGAGAAAGAUAAUGAAGACGAAAUAUCUUCCAACCAGUCAGCUAGAUUUUCACAAUUUCUUACUGACAAUACGUGUGUAACAGCCAGUGAAUUAACAGCGUUUUAAUGCGGUUAUUGAAG